CCCGAAGUAUCCUGAAUCUUUCGCAUUGUUAAUCGUACAAGUGCAUAUAAUAAACACAAAAAUCAAUGAUAAUCAUGCCAUUAUAUAAUUCCGAAAAAUUAACGCACUGUAGUCAUAUAAAUCUAUCAGCACUUUAUCAAAUUAAUGACAUUUAUUCUAUGUUAAAAUGCAAGCAUAAUAAUUUGAAUAAACUAUAAGCCAUAUUUUAUGAUAAAUAAUGGUAUGCUAAUAGAUUACAAUGUCCUUAUAUGGAAAAAAUGCACACUAUUAUCAUAAUAUUUAUUAAAUAUUACAAUUCUAAUGAUGAAUUUUCCAUAACGGAUAUUCAGGUUCAUCGGGC
rnacentral:rRNA from 1 species